GAUGAACGCUGGCGGCGUGCCUAAUACAUGCAAGUCGAGCGAACGGACGAGAAGCUUGCUUCUCUGAUGUUAGCGGCGGACGGGUGAGUAACACGUGGAUAACCUACCUAUAAGACUGGGAUAACUUCGGGAAACCGUAGCUAAUACCGGAUAAUAUUUUGAACCGCAUGGUUCAAAAGUGAAAGACGGUCUUGCUGUCACUUAUAGAUGGAUCCGCGCUGCAUUAGCUAGUUGGUAAGGUAACGGCUUACCAAGGCAACGAUGCAUAGCCGACCUGAGAGGGUGAUCGGCCACACUGGAACUGGGACACGGUCCGGACUCCUACGGGAGGCAGCAGUAGGGAAUCUUCCGCAAUGGGCGAAAGCCUGACGGAGCAACGCCGCGUGAGUGAUGAAGGUCUUCGGAUCGUAAAACUCUGUUAUUAGGGAAGAACAUAUGUGUAAGUAACUGUGCACAUCUUGACGGUACCUAAUCAGAAAGCCACGGCUAACUACGUG
rnacentral:rRNA from 1 species